AAUGUGCUACCCUGGCGGUAAUUAAUUUUCAUUCAACAACAUCGAAUAACUAGUAUUCCACAGCAACACGGAAUCAACAGGUUACUAAAUAACACGUCUACACGAAAGUGAUAUACUUAAGGAAUCAGUGCUCUUGUUAAUCUAACAGGAAAACAUUUUACUACUGGCAUUUUUUUUGCUGCGAGAAAAACUCCCCGAAGGCAUUAACAAGUCUGUAGAAAGUGGACUCCAAGGUUAUGCUAGCUCACUGAUCAAUCGUUAGAAGAGAAGAAUAGCAACAGCCAAGUACAAAGUUCAAUUGGCUGCAAAAUACCCAAUUAGAAUACACAACAAGGGACUAUCGCAAAGAGGCUGAAAAUAAUAAUAAAAAUAAUAAAAUGUCGGAGGCACCUGCACAAGAACGUAAGGCGAAUCCCUUUAAAGCAUUUUUAAGUGGUGGUUUUGGUGGCAUUUGCAAUGUACUCUCCGGUCAUCCUUUGGACACCAUUAAGGUGCGUCUGCAAACGAUGCCACGACCAGCGCCUGGGCAGCAACCAAUUUAUACGGGCACUUUUGACUGUGCGGCCAAAACAAUUAAAAACGAAGGUGUGCGUGGCCUCUAUAAAGGAAUGACAGCACCAUUGACUGGUGUUGCACCGAUUUUCGCGUUAUGUUUCGCUGGUUAUGCGCUUGGUAAACGUGUGCAACAAACUGGUGAGAAUGCUAAGUUGACAUAUACGCAAAUUGCCAUCGCUGGUUCAUUUUCUGGUUUGAUGUCAACGGUAAUCACUGCGCCGGGUGAGCGUAUAAAAUGUUUAUUGCAAGUGCAGCAGGCGUCUGGUGGUGAACGCAAAUACAAGGGCAUGUUGGAUACUGCAGUGCAACUGUACAAGGAAGGUGGUAUACGUAGCGUAUACAAAGGUAGCUGUGCGACGCUACUGAGGGAUGUGCCAGCAAAUGCCAUUUAUUUUGCAACUUAUGAAGCUUUUCAAGAUUUCAUCAAGCAAACAUUUCCACAAAUGCAUAUGGAAGUAUUAUCGGCAAUAGUUUCGGGUGGCAUGGCUGGUAUUGCCUACUGGGUGGUGGGCAUGCCACCAGAUGUGCUCAAGAGUCGGCUGCAGACAGCACCACCUGACAAGUACAAACAUGGCAUACGUAGUGUCUUUGCCGAACUGAUGCGGACCGAUGGUCCCUUGGCUCUCUACCGUGGCGUAUCGCCAGUAAUGUUGCGUGCAUUUCCAGCAAACGCCGCUUGCUUCUUCGGCAUCGAGUUGGCGAAUGCAUUUUUCCGAAUAGUGACACCGAAUUUUUAAGGUUCAAAUCCGUUAGCAAAACAAAGAGAGCGCUGCGCUCUCAAAAGCUGAAGAAUGUCCCUCCUCUCUUUGCUGCUAUUUGGUUUUUGAGCGGUUGGUCGAUUUUAAAAUAAAUUUAUAUUUAUUAAUUAUUA